GACGAACGCUGGCGGCGUGCCUAAUACAUGCAAGUCGAGCGGAUUCAUCCUUCGGGAUGAGUUAGCGGCGGACGGGUGAGUAACACGUAGGUAACCUGCCUAUAAGACUGGGAUAACUAU
rnacentral:rRNA from 1 species